GUGAACGCUGGCGGUAGGCCUAACACAUGCAAGUCGCACGGCAGCACAGUAAGAGCUUGCUCUUACGGGUGGCGAGUGGCGGACGGGUGAGGAAUACAUCGGAAUCUACUUUUUCGUGGGGGAUCACGUAGGGAAACUUACGCUAAUACCGCAUACGACCUACGGGUGAAAGCAGGGGAUCUUCGGACCUUGCGCGAUUGAAUGAGCCGAUGUCGGAUUAGCUAGUUGGCGGGGUAAAGGCCCACCAAGGCGACGACCCGUAGCUGGUCUGAGAGGAUGAUCAGCCACACUGGAACUGAGACACGGUCCAGACUCCUACGGGAGGCAGCAGUGGGGAAUAUUGGACAAUGGGCGCAAGCCUGAUCCAGCCAUACCGCGUGGGUGAAGAAGGCCUUCGGGUUGUAAAGCCCUUUUGUUGGGAAAGAAAAGCAGCAGGUUAAUACCCCGCUGUUCUGACGGUACCCAAAGAAUAAGCACCGGCUAACUUCGUG
rnacentral:rRNA from 1 species